UCCUGCCCUCCCAAGAAGUUUCUGAGGUGCAGCUCUUCCUCCUCCUGUACAGCUCCAGGGCCCAAGGGUAAAGAAUGCCUCUGGCAGGAGUAAUAAAAGGAAUUUUGAACAUAAGCACAA